rnacentral:rRNA from 1 species
CCUACGGGGGGCAGCAGUGGGGAAUAUUGCACAAUGGGGGAAACCCUGAUGCAGCGACGCCGCGUGAGUGAAGAAGUAUCUCGGUAUGUAAAGCUCUAUCAGCAGGGAAGAAAAUGACGGUACCUGACUAAGAAGCCCCGGCUAACUACGUGCCAGCAGCCGCGGUAAUACGUAGGGGGCAAGCGUUAUCCGGAUUUACUGGGUGUAAAGGGAGCGUAGACGGCGCUGCAAGUCCGGAGUGAAAGUCCAUGGCUUAACCAUGGUACUGCUCUGGAAACUGUGGAGCUUGAGUGCGGGAGGGGCAGGCGGAAUUCCUAGUGUAGCGGUGAAAUGCGUAGAUAUCACGAAGAACUCCGAUUGCGAAGGCAGCUCACUGGACUGUAACUGACGUUGAGGCUCGAAAGCGUGGGGAGCAAACAGGAUUAGAUACCCCUGUAGUC